AACGAACGCUGGCGGCGUGCUUAACACAUGCAAGUCGAACGCGAAAGAGGUCUUCGGACCUCUCUAGAGUGGCGCACGGGUGAGUAACGCGUAGAUAAUCUACCCCCAUAUUUGGGAUAACAAUUCGAAAGGAUUGCUAAUACCGGAUACACUUAUUUGAACGCGAGUUUGAGUGAGGAAAGGUGACCUCUUCAUGAAAGUUACUGUAUAGGGAUGAGUCUGCGUACCAUUAGCUAGUAGGUAGGGUAAAGGCCUACCUAGGCUACGAUGGUUAGCGGGUCUGAGAGGAUGAUCCGCCACACUGGAACUGGAACACGGACCAGACUCCUACGGGAGGCAG
rnacentral:rRNA from 1 species